ensembl:lncRNA
GGGGAUUGGUGGCACACGGAGGUGGGAGUGUUCUAGGGCAGCAGUGGGGAUUGGUGGUGUAAGGCGGUGGGAGUGUUCUAGGGCAGCAGUGGGGAUUGGUGGCACAUGGCGGUGGGAGUGUUCUAGGGCAGCAGUGGGGAUUGGUGGCACACGGCAGUGGGAGUGUUCUAGGGCAGCAGUGGGGAUUGGUGGCACACGGCGGUGGGAGUGUUCUAGGGCAGCAGUGGGGAUUGGUGGCACAUGGCAGUGGGAGUGUUCUAGGGCAGCAGUGGGGAUUGGUGGCACAAGGC